rnacentral:rRNA from 1 species
AUGCGUUCUCCCAAGCAACCGGCGAAGCUCGCCAUGCUUUUACUGUUGGCACUGCUGCUGCUUUGUAACGGAGUUGGCAACGUCCAUUGCGCAAGGAUCCACGAGAGCAGCGUCGAUCUGCACGCGCUGCUAGACUUCAAGCAGGGCAUCAACAAUCCUCAGGAAGCCUUGAGUAGCUGGAACAUCACAACCCAUUUCUGCCACUGGCAUGGUGUCAACUGCACCACGGCACCACCGUUCCGCGUCUCGUCGCUUAAGCUCACUGAUUUGGACUUAGCAGGCCAAAUCAGCUCCUCUCUUGGAAACUUAACCUUCCUUGGAACGCUUGACCUUUCUUAUAAUACCUUCGUUGGUCCCUUACCUGUCCUUGGCCAUCUCCAACAACUCCAGACACUUUCUCUGAACAACAACAGGUUAAAUGGGAUGAUUCCUGAUUCACUUACCAACUGUUCCAGCUUGGACACUUUAGAUCUCUCUGUUAACUCGCUAGUGGGUCCAAUUCCUCCGAAUCUAGACUUUCUUUCAAACCUCACUUACUUAGAUCUCUCUAGUAACAUGCUAGAGGGUCAAAUUCCGCCGAAACUAGUUUCCCUAUCAAAGCUGGACACAUUAGAUCUCUCUAGUAACAUGCUAGUGGGUCAAAUCCCUCCAAAUCUGGAUUUGCUUUCAUCUCUGACUUACUUAAGUCUCUCUAGUAACAUGCUAGUGGGUCAAAUUCCUUCGAAACUAGAUUCUUUAUCAAAGCUGGCCACAUUUGAUCUCUCCAAGAACAGGCUAGUGGGUCAAAUUCCUCCGAAACUAGAUUCUUUAUCCAUGCUGGACACAUUAGAUCUCUCCCAUAACAUGCUAGUGGGUCAAAUUCCACCGAAGUUAGGCUUUCUUUCAGAAUUACGGUACAUCGAUUUUAGAUCAAACAAACUCGAGGGCAACAUUCCUAAUGAGCUUGGGCAAUUGCUAAGUUUACAAGUCUUGCUCCUGGGAGACAAUUAUCUUUCAGGUGAAUUCCCACAUUCCAUCUUGAAUAAUUCUACUUCUCUUCAAUAUCUAAGCUUGGAGAUUAAUUUGCUAGGCAAGGCAUUGCCACCUAAUAUAGGUGACCUUCGGGGUCUCAUAGAGCUUACCAUGAGUGGCAACAUUUUUGAAGGGCACAUCCCAGCUUCCCUGGGCAACGCCACAGGAUUAGAAGUGAUAGAUUUAUCAGCUAAUAAUUUUACUGGGCAAAUUCCUAACAUCUUCGGAAAGCUUCCAAAUCUAACUAAUCUAAACCUUCAGCAUAACCAUCUUGAAACAAAGGACUGGGAAUUCUUCAAUGCAUUGACGAACUGUCGUUCUCUAAAAUCACUCGGACUGGCUUACAACCAGCUGCAGGGAUCUAUACCGCACUCUGUCGGUAACCUAUCCAACAAACUAGAAAAACUUCACUUCACGAAAAAUAGCUUAUUAGAACAAGUACCCCAGAGCAUAGGAAACCUUAGUGCAUUAAAUCAACUGGCACUAGGUAGAAACAACUUAAGUGGCACAAUAGAAGGAUGGCUUGGAAACCUAAAUGGCCUUCAACUUUUAAAUCUCCGCUCAAACCGCUUCAUCGGCCAAAUCCCACCCUCUAUUAGCAAUCUUACUCGGUUGUUAAAUCUUUAUCUUGAUGAUAAUGAAUUUGAGGGCGUCAUACCGCCCAGCUUGGCAAACCUCCCACUCUUAGUGCUAGUACUUAGCUCUAACAAUCUUGAAGGCCUCAUACCACCCAACAUAGGAAGCCUCCAACAGCUUACAGUUUUAAAUUUUAGCCACAAUAAUCUCCAAGGUGAGAUACCUCAGAUUAGCGCCCUUAAACAACUCACUACUUUAGAUCUUUCUUCAAAUAAGGUCACAGGGCAUAUUCCAGAUUCUUUGGGCCAAUGUUCCGGCUUAGUGAGUCUACAAAUGGACCAAAACUUUCUGUCAGGAAACAUCCCAACAACUUUUGGGAAACUGUUGUCUCUGAGUAUGCUAAAUCUUUCACACAACAACUUGUCAGGCGCCAUCCCGUUAGCUCUAAGCAAACUAGAGUACCUCGUCAAUCUUGACCUUUCAUAUAAUGAUCUUGAAGGAGAAUUACCAAGGAAUGGAGUAUUUGGAAAUGCUACAGCUGUUUCAGUUGAGGGUAAUUGCGGGCUUUGUGGAGGUGCGGUGGGUCUUCACAUGCCCAUGUGUCGUGUUGUUUCUUGGAGGUCAGAGGCACAAUACUAUUUAGUCAGAGCACUGAUUCCAUUAUUUGGAUUCACGUCAGUUGUAAUGCUAACUUACAUUAUAUUCUUUGGGAAGAAGACAUCAAGAAGAACAUACUCAAUUUUGCUUUCUUUUGGCAAGAAAUUUCCUAGAGUUGCUUACAAUGAUCUAGCUCGAGCUACAGGGAAUUUCUCUGAGUUAAACGUUGUUGGAAGAGGAAGUUAUGGUUCCGUGUACAGAGGAAAGUUAACUCAAGCUAAAAUACAGGUGGCUAUUAAGGUUUUUGACCUUGAUAUGAAAUGUGCAGACAAAAGUUUUGUAACGGAAUGCGAGGUUCUGAGUAGAAUUCGGCACCGGAACCUUGUACCUAUCCUCACUGCAUGUUUGACAAUAGACAAUAAUGGUGAUGCUUUCAAAGCUCUAAUUUACGAAUUCAUGCCUAACGGGAAUUUGGACACAUGGCUGCAUAAUAUAUAUUCCGGCAGUUCAUCGAAAUGUUUGAGCUUAGCUCAAAGAGCAAGCAUAGCUACCAAUAUAGCCGAUGCAUUGGCUUAUUUACACAACGAUUGUGAAAGGCAGAUUGUACAUUGUGAUCUGAAGCCAACUAAUAUCCUUCUUGACGAUGAUAUGAAUGCUUAUUUGGGAGACUUCGGCAUUGCAAGCCUCAUCGGACAUUCAAGCUUAGUCACCUCAAGUGGGCUGAAGGGAACAAUAGGGUACAUAGCUCCAGAGUAUGCUCAAAGUGGCCAUGCAUCAAUCCGUGGGGAUGUUUAUAGUUUUGGAAUAGUACUCCUGGAGAUGCUCAUUGGCAAAAGACCAACAGACCCUAUGUUUGAGAACGAACUCAACAUGGUCAACUUUGUGGAGAGGAACUAUCCAGAUAAGAUACUAGAUAUUAUUGAUGUGUGCUUGCGUGGGGAAUGCAAGGGCUAUAUCCAAGCGAACAUUGGAACAGAAAAUGUGACAUAUGGAUGCUUGUUAUCACUCAUGCAAGUUGCUCUUUCCUGUACAUGUCAGAUCCCAGGGGAACGCAUGAAUAUAAGAGAAGCAACCAAUAAGUUGCAUUCAAUUAGAACAUCGUACAUUAGAGCAACCAAGUGA